rnacentral:rRNA from 1 species
UACGUAGGGUGCGAGCGUUAAUCGGAAUUACUGGGCGUAAAGCGUGCGCAGGCGGUUUUGCAAGCCAGAUGUGAAAUCCCCGGGCUUAACCUGGGAAUGGCAUUUGGGACUGCAAGGCUGGAGUGUGGCAGAGGAGACUGGAAUUCCCGGUGUAGCAGUGAAAUGCGUAGAUAUCGGGAGGAAUACCGAUGGCGAAGGCAGGUCUCUGGGCUGACACUGACGCUCAUGCACGAAAGCGUGGGGAGCAAACAGG